rnacentral:rRNA from 1 species
UCGGGAAUAUUGCACAAUGGAGGAAACUCUGAUGCAGUGACGCCGCGUAUAGGAAGAAGGUUUUCGGAUUGUAAACUAUUGUCGUUAGGGAAGAAAAAGACAGUACCUAAGGAGGAAGCUCCGGCUAACUACGUGCCAGCAGCCGCGGUAAUACGUAGGGAGCAAGCGUUAUCCGGAUUUAUUGGGUGUAAAGGGUGCGUAGACGGGAAUUUAAGUUAGUUGUGAAAUCCCUCGGCUUAACUGAGGAACUGCAACUAAACUAAUUUCUUGAGUGUCGGAGAGGAAAGUGGAAUUCCUAGUGUAGCGGUGAAAUGCGUAGAUAUUAGGAGGAACACCGGUGGCGAAGGCGACUUUCUGGACGAUAACUGACGUUGAGGCACGAAAGUGUGGGGAGCAAACAGGAUUAGAUACCCUGGUAGU